UACGUAGGGGGCAAGCGUUGUCCGGAAUCAUUGGGCGUAAAGCGCGUGUAGGCGGUCCGGUAAGUCCGCUGUGAAAGUCGGGGGCUUAACCCUCGGAUGCCGGUGGAUACUGUCGGACUAGAGUCCGGAAGAGGCGAGUGGAAUUCCCGGUGUAGCGGUGAAAUGCGCAGAUAUCGGGAGGAACACCAAUGGCGAAGGCAGCACUCUGGGACGUGACUGACGCUGAGACGCGAAAGCGUGGGGAGCAAACAGG
rnacentral:rRNA from 1 species